GCGUACCACAUACUUGAAAUUGUACAAAUUUCCCCUCCCGCCUCCUUUGUUUGUCCGUGCUUGAAACCCUACAUUUUGCAAUUCCCCCGCCAUCAUGAAGCUUGUUAGGUUUUUGAUGAAGCUCAACAAUGAGACAGUUUCAAUCGAGCUGAAAAAUGGAACCGUUGUCCAUGGCACCAUCACAGGUGUGGAUAUCAGCAUGAAUACACAUUUGAAGGCUGUAAAGCUUACUCUAAAGGGGAAAAAUCCAGUUACCAUGGAUCAUUUAAGUGUGAGGGGAAACAACAUCAGAUAUUAUAUUCUACCUGACAGCUUGAAUCUUGAGACUUUACUUGUUGAAGAGACACCCAGGGUCAAGCCCAAGAAACCAACUGCAGGGAAGCCUUUGGGGCGUGGACGAGGACGAGGCCGUGGGCGUGGUCGUGGUCGUGGACGCUAGAUUUGUUGCAGUUUCAAAUUUUGAUCUCCGUAGUGUAAACACUUGUAUCUUAUAGGGAAAGUUUGUGAAUUUAGUGACGUGAAGAUGUGGUGUAGCAAUUCACUGUCCGAUCUCAUAUGUUUAUUACAAUGCUAUUCAGUUGUUUUCUCUGUGAUCGAUGUAGCUUUGCUAUGUGGCUGGGAUCUGCCCCUGUUAAUGAUUUACUCUAAUAUCAUCAACAAUGAUCAAACUCUUGAUUGCUGAAGACACUAUUUUGGCAAGUAAUGAUGGUGAGGAGGAAGAGUAGGAGGGAACUCUGAAAGACCUAGCCGUAGCCGACACAGCAAGAAAAAAUGGGAAAGAAACGGUCUGAUACCAAGCAAGCAGCUAUCGUCUUUGGAGCCUUAGCGCUGGGUUGGCUCGCCAUUGAGAUGGCUUUCAAGCCCAUCCUCGAUAGGGUCCGCUCCGCCAUGGACAACUCUGAUCCGGCUCGGGAUACCGACGACCUUGCCGAUAACCAAUCUGAUCAGAGGCCAUCUGAUGACGAUCAAAGUACCACCGCUUAAAGUGGCAAUUCGAAGGUCCGACAGAGUGGGAUGAUGAAAUAGUUUGUUGCCCGUCAUGUUGUACUUGUAAAAGGUGAAAUUUUAGAUAUUUUCACUCCGUAUCAUAUAAUAAGGUCAGUACUAGACCUUUUUUUAAUUGAGUUGAAGUGAUUCAGUUUUUAGUUUUA